GGGACACCAAUUAUAGGAGGAGGUGGAGGUGGUGGAGGAGGCGGAGGAGGUAAUGAGACCUCCUUGCUAGGAGAACCAAACAGAGAGGGUGGUGAAGGGGGAGAUGGAGCUGAUGAUUGAGUAACUUUUAUACUAGAAAUCACAGAGGCAGGUGACGGAGGUGGUGAAGGUAGCGGACAAGAAGAGGAAGUCCUUGUAUCGCAAAUUUGAACUCCCUUUAAACGUUCAGGAGAAAUGGCAGUAUCCAAUUGACAGUUACUUUCAGAAAGAGACUGAACAGGACAAAGAUCUGACUUUGAAAGCUUCAUUUGACCCUCAGAAAUCUUGGGAUCAGAAGUUCCAUCAGAAGCUGAAUCUUGUUCAUCUAAAAAGUUGACAUCUGUUGUAUUAGCAUAACUAACACUACUAGCUUUCUCUGAGUCCAGAAAAUCCAAACUGUCGGCAAUGCUCGAUGCAUUAUUUUCUUCUUCAGAAUCAAAUGGGGAUGAAUACCCACUCAUCCUACUUUGCAAAAUUGACAAAUCUUUCAUAUCAUUCAGCACCGAUAGCUGUUUAAACAACCACAACGCAGCAUCAUCACCAGUAUCAACCCAAUCAGCACCACUAAAAAGUUCUUGUACCCUUGAAAAGGCUUCAAUAGGAAGUCCACCAGUCUCCUCACCAUUGAGAGCUGCAGUGGGAGCUUUUAGUGGAGAUAUGCUCUCAACAUCACCAAAUAAAACCUCAGCUCGAAAACCUUUUGGAUAGCGUGCCUUUGAAUCCCAUAGAAUAUCCAGGUUAUCGCAGUUUAACAUCAAAAUGUUAGAGCGAAUAAAAGCAGUGUUAAACACAAUACGGAACAUCAUGACUUCCCUUUCAGGAUCCAGGUCUAAGUGGACACACUCCAAAACUACAUCUCCUUGCACCAAACACUGAAUAUCAAUCUUGAUGACAUCACUGUCCUUCUGGCGAUAAUGUCGAAGGCUUCUACCUUUCUUCGGCAUGGAGUACAACAUAUGAGUUGACAAUCCAUCCUUGCUGAGAAGGUUCCUUCCAAAAAUGCGCACAAUUGGCCUACACCCUUUUUGAUUGUCAAAUCUUGGAAUGGCACGAAGAAU
rnacentral:misc_RNA from 1 species